UCCUCACCGUGCGGUUCAGCACUGGUUGCAAAGGGUCUCUUGGUUGCAGCUGUCAAAUUCAAUGGUCGGAUCGAUAUUUCGUCCAAUUACGUACUUUUUAUUGAUUAAGCAUAAAUUUCUCUAAAUCAAUGUACAAACUGUUUUCAGUCAAAAUAAAAAGUCGCCUACCACUGGUUGGUCGCCAUAUUCAAAACAUGACGAGCCUCGCGCAUGCGAACCCGGUUGAAGCGGCUAUCAGAAAAAAAUUGACCGCAGCAUUGGGCCCUAGCUUUAUUGAAAUUUCAAAUGAAUCUCACAUGCAUAACGUACCCAAAGGAUCGGAAACUCAUUUUAAAGUUAUCGUUGUGUCAGAUAAAUUCGUUGACCAGCCGUUGAUCAAGCGACACAGAAUGGUGAACGAUUUAUUACAAAACGAAUUGCAAACUGGAGUACACGCACUUUCUAUUGUGGCAAAAACUCCGGCACAAUGGGAAGAAAACCCCAAAGUCGUCGAGCCGAGUCCCGCUUGCCGAGGUGGUUUUGGGAAAUGAUGGCCACUCAACGGUUCGUUCUGAAUAACAAUACUACAAUUUCAGAAUUUGCUAGGUAUAACAUGUCUGCCAUCGAUUGCUCGGCAAUGGCUUCUUCGGCUUUCUCAUACAUCUGUGAACAAGAGGAUUUAUGUCAGUGAAUAUAGUAUAUUACACACCUAGGGGAGCAAAGUAAGAAAUAUCUUCGCCUCGGCCAACAAUUACAAGUGAUCUGAGGCCUUCUUAUUUACUGGUGUGUGUACUAUUUUUCUCCUCAACGGAGGCGAAAAGCGACAACUUCGUUUCGCGCAGCGGGAUGAAAUUCGUCGCUUUCCGCGCGGAGGGGAGAAAAAUAAAUUUAAAAUUUCAAUCCCGCUCUGCGGAAUCCAUUCUUACC